rnacentral:rRNA from 1 species
UACGUAGGGUGCGAGCGUUAAUCGGAAUUACUGGGCGUAAAGCGUGCGCAGGCGGUCUGUUAAGACAGAUGUGAAAUCCCCGGGCUUAACCUGGGAACUGCAUUUGUGACUGGCAGGCUAGAGUAUGGCAGAGGGGGGGUAGAAUUCCACGUGUAGCAGUGAAAUGCGUAGAGAUGUGGAGGAACACCGAUGGCGAAGGCAGCCCCCCUGGGUCAAGAUUGACGCUCAUGCACGAAAGCGUGGGGAGCAAACGAGG